rnacentral:tRNA from 1 species
GCCUUGGUGGUAAAAUGGUUAAGCGCUCAGCUGCUAGCCAAAAAAUUGGUGGUUCAAAUCCACCCAAUGGCU